AAAUGUGGGGCAUUACUUAAUGAGCGACCCUCGUAGUUAGGUAGUUCUUUAGGUAUCUUCCAGUUAGGUCAUGCCGUUAUGAUUUCCUCAGUUUGAGGACAAGCGGCUAAGAGGAGCAACUGAAGCUGAAAUUUCUCGUCACAACAGAUCUACGCGUGUCUUCUGGCUUGUAUCUGACACGAUAGCCCUGGUGACCACUGACAAGAGGCAACAGUCAUACCGGUUGUAUGGGCUACGCAACCGGGUGUAUGAGAAUGAAGUUCAUCUGUCGGCAGACCACUCUGUUUUCAGGAAUUCCGGAGAUCGCUGUGAAAGUGGGCGGGCAUUCACAUCUCUUGUCAGCAGACGCUGGUGACUCUAGCGUCUGCUGAAGGUUCCUCACUAACGAUUUUAUGCCACCUCUUCCCCAAUCAUCAAAUCAUCACUCAAAAUCAUACUUGGCUGCCACAGAUAUAGGGGAGACCAGGGCAUGUGGAAGGGGCAGUAAUAAAGAAAGCAUUAUUAACAGCGCCAGCCAAGCCGGAAAUAAGCUUCAGGCUUCGGGAGGAACCGAGCAAGUUAGAUCAUCGAUAAUGUUUCUGGAUUGUACUCGAAAUGUCUGUUCACUUCUCGGAGCCGUCCUCAUUGCUUGCUACCGUGUUCUGCAGGAGAUGUAACCCAGAAAAGAUAGAUCUUUAAAGCCGAGU